rnacentral:rRNA from 1 species
AGUGAACGCUGGCGGUAGGCCUAACACAUGCAAGUCGAACGGCAGCACAGUAAGAGCUUGCUCUUACGGGUGGCGAGUGGCGGACGGGUGAGGAAUACAUCGGAAUCUACUUUUUCGUGGGGGAUAACGUAGGGAAACUUACGCUAAUACCGCAUACGACCUACGGGUGAAAGCAGGGGAUCUUCGGACCUUGCGCGAUUGAAUGAGCCGAUGUCGGAUUAGCUAGUUGGCGGGGUAAAGGCCCACCAAGGCGACGAUCCGUAGCUGGUCUGAGAGGAUGAUCAGCCACACUGGAACUGAGUCACGGUCCAGACUCCUACGGUAGGCAGCAGUGGGGAAUAUUGGACAAUGGGCGCAAGCCUUAUCCAGCCAUACCGCGUGGGUGAAGAAGGCCUUCGGGUGGUAAAGCCCUUUUGUUGGGAAAGAAAAGCAGCAGGUUAAUACCCCGCUGUUCUGACGGUACCCAAAGAAUAAGCACCGGCUAACUUCGUG